GCCCGGGUGGUGGAAUGGCAGACACGACGGUCUUAGAAGCCGUUGCCGCAAGGCGUGCAGGUUCAAGUCCUGUCCCGGGCACCA
rnacentral:tRNA from 2 species